rnacentral:rRNA from 1 species
GACGUAGGGCGCGAGCGUUGUCCGGAUUUAUUGGGCGUAAGGAGCUCGUAGGCGGCUCGUUGCGUCGGCUGUGAAAACCCGCAGCUCAACUGUGGGCUUGCAGCUGAUACGGGCGGGCUGGGAUUCGGUAGGGGAGACUGGAAUUCCUGGUGUAGCGGUGAAAUGCGCAGAUAUCAGGAGGAACACCGGUGGCGAAGGCGGGUCUCUGGGCCGAUAUCGACGCUGAGGAGCGAAAGCGUGGGGAGCGAACAGG